rnacentral:rRNA from 1 species
GGGUUGUGAGGUUAAGCGAAUAAGCGUACACGGUGGAUGCCUAGGCAAUCAGAGGCGAUGAAGGACGUGCUAAUCUGCGAAAAGCGUCGGUAAGGUGAUAUGAACCGUUAUACCCGACGAUAUCCGAAUGGGGAAACCCAGUAUCCAAUGGAUACUAUCAUUAACUGAAUCCAUAGGUUAAUGAGGCGAACCGGGAGAACUGAAACAUCUCAGUACCCCGAGGAAAAGAAAUCAACCGAGAUUCCCCUAGUAGCGGCGAGCGAACGGGGAGCAGCCCAGAGUCUUAAUCAAUAGCAGUGUCAGGAGAACGGUCUGGAAAGUCCGGCAGUAAAGGGUGAUAGCCCCGUAUCUGAAGAUGCUGUUAUUGUGAACUCGACGAGUAGGGCGGGACACGUGUUAUCCUGUCUGAAUAUGGGGGGACCAUCCUCCAAGGCUAAAUACUCCUGAUUGACCGAUAGUGAACCAGUACCGUGAGGGAAAGGCGAAAAGAACCCCGGCGAGGGGAGUGAAAAAGAACCUGAAACCGUGUACGUACAAGCAGUAGGAGCCUCUUUAUGGGGUGACUGCGUACCUUUUGUAUAAUGGGUCAGCGACUUAUAUUCUGUAGCGAGGUUAACCGUAUAGGGGAGCCGUAGGGAAACCGAGUCUUAACUGGGCGAAUGAGUUGCAGGGUAUAGACCCGAAACCCGGUGAUCUAUCCAUGGGCAGGUUGAAGGUUGGGUAACACUAACUGGAGGACCGAACCGACUAAUGUUGAAAAAUUAGCGGAUGACUUGUGGAUAGGGGUGAAAGGCCAAUCAAACCGGGAGAUAGCUGGUUCUCCCCGAAAGCUAUUUAGGUAGCGCCUCGUGAACUCAUCUUCGGGGGUAGAGCACUGUUUCGACUAGGGGGUCAUCCCGACUUACCAACUCGAUGCAAACUGCGAAUACCGAAGAAUGUUAUCACGGGAGACACACGGCGGGUGCUAACGUCCGUCGUGAAGAGGGAAACAACCCAGACCGCCAGCUAAGGUCCCAAAGUCAUGGUUAAGUGGGAAACGAAGUGGGAAGGCUCAGACAGCCAGGAUGUUGGCUUAGAAGCAGCCAUCAUUUAAAGAAAGCGUAAUAGCUCACUGGUCGAGUCGGCCCGCGCGGAAGAUGUAACGGGGCUAAACCAUGCACCGAAGCUGCGGCAGCGACACAAAGUGUUGUUGGGUAGGGGAGCGUUCUGUAAGCCUGCGAAGGUGUACUGUGAGGUAUGCUGGAGGUAUCAGAAGUGCGAAUGCUGACAUAAGUAACGAUAAUGCGGGUGAAAAACCCGCACGCCGGAAGACCAAGGGUUCCUGUCCAACGUUAAUCGGGGCAGGGUGAGUCGACCCCUAAGGCGAGGCUGAAAAGCGUAGUCGAUGGGAAACGGGUUAAUAUUCCCGUACUGGUGGUAACUGCGAUGGGGGAACGGAGAAGGCUAGGUUGUCCGGGCGACGGUCGUCCCGGUUCAAGCAGGUAGGCAGAGUGAUUAGGCAAAUCCGGUCACUUAAUGCUGAGAUGUGAUGACGAACCACCAAGGUGGUGAAGCAAUUGAUGCCCCGCUUCCAGGAAAAGCCUCUAAGCUUCAGGUUACCAACAAUCGUACCCCAAACCGACACAGGUGGUCAGGUAGAGAAUACUCAGGCGCUUGAGAGAACUCGGGUGAAGGAACUAGGCAAAAUGGUGCCGUAACUUCGGGAGAAGGCACGCUGGCGGUAGGUAAAGUCCCUCGCGGACGGCGCUGAAGCCAGUCGAAGAUACCAGCUGGCUGCAACUGUUUAUUAAAAACACAGCACUGUGCAAACACGAAAGUGGACGUAUACGGUGUGACGCCUGCCCGGUGCUGGAAGGUUAAUUGAUGGGGUUAGCCGUAAGGCGAAGCUCCUGAUCGAAGCCCCAGUAAACGGCGGCCGUAACUAUAACGGUCCUAAGGUAGCGAAAUUCCUUGUCGGGUAAGUUCCGACCUGCACGAAUGGCGUAAUGAUGGCCAGGCUGUCUCCACCCGAGACUCAGUGAAAUUGAACUCGCUGUGAAGAUGCAGUGUACCCGCGGCAAGACGGAAAGACCCCGUGAACCUUUACUAUAGCUUGACACUGAACAUUGAGCCUUGAUGUGUAGGAUAGGUGGGAGGCUUUGAAGUGUGGACGCCAGUCUGCAUGGAGCCAACCUUGAAAUACCACCCUUUAACGUUUGAUGUUCUAACCUAGGCCCAUAAACUGGGUCGGGGACCGUGUCUGGUGGGUAGUUUGACUGGGGCGGUCUCCUCCUAAAGAGUAACGGAGGAGCACGAAGGUUGGCUAAGCAUGGUCGGACAUCAUGCGGUUAGUGCAAAGGCAUAAGCCAGCUUGACUGCGAGAGUGACGGCUCGAGCAGGUACGAAAGUAGGUCUUAGUGAUCCGGUGGUUCUGAAUGGAAGGGCCAUCGCUCAACGGAUAAAAGGUACUCCGGGGAUAACAGGCUGAUACCGCCCAAGAGUUCAUAUCGACGGCGGUGUUUGGCACCUCGAUGUCGGCUCAUCACAUCCUGGGGCUGAAGUAGGUCCCAAGGGUAUGGCUGUUCGCCAUUUAAAGUGGUACGCGAGCUGGGUUUAGAACGUCGUGAGACAGUUCGGUCCCUAUCUGCCGUGGGCGUUGGAAGAUUGAGAGGGGUUGCUCCUAGUACGAGAGGACCGGAGUGAACGCACCACUGGUGUUCGGGUUGUCAUGCCAAUGGCAUUGCCCGGUAGCUAAGUGCGGAAGAGAUAACCGCUGAAAGCAUCUAAGCGGGAAACUUGCCUCGAGAUGAGUCUUCCCUGUCGCUUUAAGCGACCUAAAGGAACGUUUAAGACUAAGACGUUGAUAGGCUGGGUGUGUAAGCGUAGCGAUACGUUGAGCUAACCAGUACUAAUGAACCGUGAGGCUUAACCUGACAACACCGAAGGUGUUU